GAAUACACGCGAGGGGGUGGGCGGCCCAGGGAAGCUACUGGUGCGAACUGUAAACUUAAUCCUGGCAGCUUCACAGUCAGGGGAGUGUUUCUACCCGCAGGCAAGAACGGGCCCGAUUUCCGGCAGGGGCGCGCGGAGGACGCUGACGGGGGCUGUUUUUGCGCGGGCGGAGGGUGCGGCGGGGGAAACCGAGGCCCGCCGGGAGCGCAGCCCAGAGGGGCCCGCAGCCCAGGGGGGCCCGCGAGAGCGCUGGUCCGCGGGCGGCGGGGCGCGAGGCUGCCGUCGAGCCGGCCUGCUGAGGGAGCAGGUGGAAGCGCAGGGACCAACGGGGGCACCGGGGCAGGACUGCGGCCAGCGAGGCGGCGUGUGAGAGCGGGCGAGCGAGGGAGCCACUUGGUCAUAGAUUCCAGGUAUCAGGAUAUGACCUGAUGAAUCCACCAGGCUACCUAAAAAAAUGCACAUAGAAAACAAAGCAAGGCAGAAAUUACAAGAGUGCUGAUGCUGUGCCCUUGGACCAAGACCAGGUGCUAGGUCAAUGCUGGGAUGAGAAGAUGCACAAGAUGACCCCUCUUUCCAUCAGUGAGGACACCAUCUCUGAUCACAAAGUAACAAGUCUGAUACCGUGUGAGCAGAUCAACAGGUUGCUUGCCUCUGUGUAGACACGGUUCACCCUAAAUAAAACACCAUAACAAAAUCCACAGGGACAGUGGUAGUGUGAUAAUAAUAAGCUUCCCAGCACUUUGAGAAUGAUCCCAAGGGAUCUAAGUUUAAGGCUUGAGUUGUGUUAAGGUAGCAGAGUGUGAAGAGAAGAAGGUACCACUGUUCUGUUUUGGGUUCAACUCUUCCUUCAGCCCCGCUUCCUGGUCCCACAGCAGUUCCCCCAGACUUCCUAUUCCUUCUAUGACCACAUUAUAGGGACAAUAGUAGAGACCUUUGUGUUCAGAGUCUGAGUAACAGAAUUCCCACCCCCGCACCAUGAAUCAAGUGAACUGUAUUGCACAUUGAAUAAGUGAUUUAAACCCAUUAGCCAGAUUCAAACAUAAGUUGGUAUGGAAGGACUGGGACUAUCAUCAAUUUGCUGUCUACCUUCUCUCGUUUUCACCAGAAUCAUAAAAAGCAAUACUAACAAUGUAAUCACUAAGUCUUUCCUUGAAUGUCUACCCCUAAACUCCUGCCAACAGCCUCCUAUGUAAGGACAGAGCUACAAAAAUGUGUAAGACACACACACCCUACUUACAGUGCAGCCAGAAUAUACAGCAUCAAGGACUGCAUGGGUCAAGGAGAAGAGCCCUGAAGAAGAAUCACCACUGGUGAAGAGAAAUGUCAAGCACAGGAGCACAGAGGAGCCACAGGAAGCCAAUGAGACCACAUAGCUAUACAGUGCAGCCUAGAAGGACAAGUGGGCACAAUGGCACUAUCUUUGUGGUUAACAUUUUUGUACAACUUGGCAAGACUUCAGGGUGUUUUUCACAAGUAGAUUUGAGUACUACAAAUGCCAAAAUAAAAGUGCCUCUAGGACCAGGAUGCUUAUGUUCAUUUCAUGAACCUGAAUGGUAUUCUGUCAUACUAGUUGGUGUUGCCAGAUGUUGCCUAUGGUGAGGAUGGUGGUGAUAUGGACAUCCUUAGCAAAUCAGUCCAGGAUUUGAUUAGAUCUGGCUUUCCCAGCACUCAUUGCACACAGCCAGCAAAGAUCCCAGGCCUCAGUUCUCAGCAUCAUUUUAAGAGUGCCCCCCCCAAUCCUGCUCCCUUUCCACUUGAAAUCGUGCUCCUCAGAACAUGAUGCAAAUUUUGCAGCCACCUCCACCAUCCUGAGAAAUGCAUGGGAGGCAGAGAUUGCUGCCUUGAAAAUGUUCAUGGGAAGCAUAAUUCUGAUCCCCAGGCGUGCCUUGGGAUUUUAAUAUUUUAAAUAACACCAGAUACUACUUGCUUAUAAAAAUGCCCCUGGGUCAACCGUCUUUUCUGCAUAUUGGCUUUUGGGAAAUGUAGAGUCAAAAGUCUACAAAGGGGAAACACAGAGAUGAGAGCUCUUUUUGUGAACAUGAAUAUUACUAUCCCAUACCCUACCUUUCAUUUUGAGUGUUAAACCUCCUUGGAGACAGGAUACUUAUGUGAUUUUGCUUUGUGCCCCCAUGGAGUUCACACUGUGCUUUGGUUCACUCUAUGCAGUUCAGGCUGGCCUUGAGCUCACUUUGUAGCCCAGGCUGGUCUUGAACUCCCAAUGAUCCUCCUGCCUCAGCCUCCUGAGUAAGUGCUGAGAUUACAGGUGUGCGCCACCAAUCCUGGCUGUCAUGGUCUAUUUGAUUUGUAUCAAAAACUAAAAACAAAACCAUGUGUUUUUCAUUCCUUUCAUGAUCUGAUCUGACUUUUUCUAGGCAAAACGAUAUGUAUUUAUGAGGCUAAAUGAAAUAUUCUAUGCUGGACUAAAAUCAAACAGUCUAAACCAAUGUCAUGCAGCCAUGAUGCUGGAGGAGAGACCUGGAAUGUAUUAUUGCAGACUUGAUGAUGCAGUUCCUGGGAAAGAGAAAAUUCAUUCUACUAAAAUAGAAAAUCAACCAUGCCACUUGCCCAAAAUUAGUUUGCAUACAGCUAAAUUCUUCUGUGGACUAUGUAAACUCUUUCAAGGAAAAUACCAUUGUUUUCUAUCUGAAAUUGUCAAGCAUGGGAUUUAUGCUCUAAAAGUUAUAUUUUGGGAAAACUAAGCCAUAGAAUAAUAGUAGGCAGACAAAUGAGUGACAGAAAUGUAGUUUUAUUUCACUAUUCAAUUUGAGGCAGUGAAGGAGGAAGCUCCACAACUACAGACAAUGCUGACGUCCUUGAGGAGACUUCCCCACACUCAACAACUGGGCCACAUGGCCUGAUCAUAGCCUGUGUGGAACUACCAAGGCCAAAGGGACAGAUGCGUAUUUUAUGGCAAUUUGUCUGCCCAAAAGGGGCACCAGAUAAAAUUUGCAUAAUGAACUAUAAAUUGCAGAUGAGGGAAAUUGAGGUAUUAUGGAGCCUGAAGCUUACUUAAUUUGUGAAACUCAUUUUUAAAAGAACACCAAAGAUGGACAUAAAAUUGUGAAUGUUUCUGCCAGCACCAUGGAAGGAGCUCCUGAAAGUGAGCCUCAUGAAGUUUAAGCUUCCUUAGCACCUUGGGCAUUCAGAGAGGUGAUAUCAAGUGGAUCAAGCCUGGACAUAUUUGCUGCCUAGAAAAAUCCACUUGCACACGUCAGUCACCACAGUGGAGGUCAGGAAUAGGGGUUUGAUGUUGGGUGCAAUCAGCAAACCCAUAGCAUCUCUAUGUCAAGGCCACAGCAACCUUAAAAAUGAAGCCAUUGCUGGAGUUAUUGAUAUAAAAGAGCUGCUUUCUUAGGCAGAUAGACCUAAGAAAAGUCAUCAACAAACACACUGUGGUCAAGUCACUGUGCUCAAGUGUUCCACACGCAUCAUCUUCUGGGAUCCUUGAAACACUUAAAUAGGUCUCCAGCUGCUCCCUUUCCCCUCAACCUUUUGAAGGCUUUUGAAGCUUCUCUUGGACUCCACCAGCAGAGGUAGGGAGCUAACAGGAGUUUCAAGUGGAUGUCUCCUGGGAAGCAAGCGGGCAACUUUACUUUUAGAUGAUAAGAGAAGCAAAGGAAGUAAAUGGUUAAUCAAAGAAGCAAAUGGAGGGGCUGGAGAGGGGCUGGGGAUUUAGCUCAGUGGCACAGUGCUUGCCUGGCAAG